ACUACGGGAGGCAGCAGUGAGGAAUAUUGGUCAAUGGUCGGGAGACUGAACCAGCCAAGCCGCGUGAGGGAGGAAGGUCCAGAGUAUCGUAAACCUCUUUUGUCAGGGAACAAAGACUGGGACGCGUCCCCGGAUGAGUGUACCUGAAGAAAAAGCAUCGGCUAACUCCGUGCCAGCAGCCGCGGUAAUACGGAGGAUGCGAGCGUUAUCCGGAUUUAUUGGGUUUAAAGGGUGCGCAGGCGGGCUGUUAAGUCAGCGGUCAAAGCCCGGGGCUCAACCCCGGCCCGCCGUUGAAACUGGCAGUCUCGAGUGGGAGAGAAGUAGGCGAAAUGCGCGGUGUAGCGGUGAAAUGCAUAGAUAUCACGAAGAACUCCGAUUGCGAAGGCAGCUUACUAAACUGCCACUGACAUUGAUGCUCGAAAGUGUGGGUAUCAAACAGGAUUAGAUACCCCUGUAGUC
rnacentral:rRNA from 1 species